AGCCCGAGCUUGGGCAGGAGGCUCGGUUCACGUUUGAUGAAACGAUGCGGCCGGGCUGGGGGAUGCGUGUAAGUCGGGUGUCGGAUCCCAAGUCCCGAGAGGCACAGAGCCUGAGUGCCCCCGCCAGCCCCUCUAAGCCCCGGCAUCCGGGCGGCGACCGCAGCGGCGGGGACAGGAGGCGCUGCAGCUUUAAGAUUUCUCCCGGGCGUCCGGGUUGCCAGGCGCGGUUGCCAGGGGCCUGCGCCGCGCUGUGUCCGGCCUGCGCGCACCGGCCCCGGGUUUCCGCCGCCGCCGCCGCCGCCGGGCCGCGUCGGGCUCUGCUCCUCCGAACCGUCUGGCGGACUUGGCACCGGCCCCCGCUCCUCGGUGCCCCCGCGUGAUGUUCAAACCUCGCGGCUGUCCACGGCUAAAUGGGGUCAGCAGUGACGGGUGGAUGGCAGGACCCCCUCAGGUCUCUGCAAGAAGAAAGGGAGAGGAGGGGCCGCCCCCCAGCCCUGCUGCUGUCUGGGGUGGAACCCUUGAGGCAGGCAGGUCAGCACCUCUACCCAGGCCUCCCGUGCUGCCCAGGACCCUCGUUCAGUUUGGCCCUGUGUGGCUGCCUCGGGCUACCCAGCUGCCUGCCAACCCCCAGUUGGCCCGCCGGUCCUCAGCGCCUGUAGCCCUCUGCCUCACUUCCUAUUAACACAAACCACGUGGGACCCUCGCGGUGGCGUCUGCAGGCAGGAGAGGAAGCCGUGGCCGCCUAGUGGCUGCUGGGAAGCCUGGCAGGAAGGGGCAUCUCCACCAGGCGUCUCCUGGGAGACAGCAAGCUCCCUGGAGAAGGGACAUUUGGAAAUAAAGCUCCUGCCGCGCGCUCUC